rnacentral:misc_RNA from 1 species
UACGGAGGGUGCGAGCGUUAUCCGGAAUCAUUGGGUUUAAAGGGUCCGUAGGCGGGAUAAUAAGUCAGUGGUGAAAGUCUGCAGCUUAACCGUAGAAUUGCCGUUGAAACUGUUGGCCUUGAGUCAUUAUGAAGUGGUUAGAAUAUGUAGUGUAGCGGUGAAAUGCAUAGAUAUUACAUAGAAUACCGAUUGCGAAGGCAGAUCACUAAUAAUGUACUGACGCUGAGGGACGAAAGCGUAGGUAGCGAACAGG